rnacentral:rRNA from 1 species
UUUUUUUUUUAAGCACUCAGGAUUGAGGAUUGACUUUCUGUCUCUUCUUACAUUUUCCAGGUCUAUGUUUCUUCAUAUACCCUAGUGUAUGUUUAUAGAGUUAUUACGGGCCUUUUGUGCCCAUAUAUCUAUACAACUUUCAGCAACGGAUCUCUUGGCUCUCGCAUCGAUGAAGAACGCAGCGAAAUGCGAUAAGUAAUGUGAAUUGCAGAAUUCAGUGAAUCAUCGAAUCUUUGAACGCACCUUGCGCUCCUUGGUAUUCCGAGGAGCAUGCCUGUUUGAGUGUCAUUAAUAUAUAUCAACCUCUGGUUGGAUAUGGGUUUGCUGGCCUUUUUCUUUGAGGUCAACUCUCCUUAAAUGCAUUAGCGGACAAUUUUGCCAAACGUUUCAUUAGUGUGAUAAUUAUCUACGCUAUUGAUGUGAAGCAGGUUCGACUUCUAAUGGUCCAUUGACUUGGACAAAUCUUUAUUUAUUAAUGUGACCUCAUCUCAUC